GAUCAUGGCUCAGGAUGAACGCUAGCGACAGGCCUAACACAUGCAAGGUCGAGGGGCAGCGCGGAGUAGCAAUACGUUGGCGGCGACCGGCGCGACGGGUGAGUAACACGUAUGCAACCAACCCAGUAACAGGGGGAUAACCCGGAGAAAUCCGGACUAAUACCGCAUAAGACCACGAUAUCGCAUGAUAUAGAGGUCAAAUAUUUAUAGGUUAUGGACGGGCAUGCGUCUGAUUAGCUGGUUGGCGGGGUAACGGCCCACCAAGGCAUCGAUCAGUAGGGGUUCUGAGAGGAAGGUCCCCCACAUUGGAACUGAGACACGGUCCAAACUCCUACGGGAGGCAGCAGUGAGGAAUAUUGGUCAAUGGGCGAAAGCCUGAACCAGCCAUGUCGCGUGAAGGAAUGAAGGUCCUAUGGAUUGUAAAUUUCUUUUGCAGGAGGGUAAAGUGAGCUACGUGUAGUUCAUUGCAAGUACCCUGCGAAUAAGCAUCGGCUAACUCCGUGCCAGCAGCGGC
rnacentral:rRNA from 1 species